rnacentral:rRNA from 1 species
UGGUGGAGUGAUUUGUCUGGUUAAUUCCGUUAACGAACGAGACCUUAGCCUACUAACUAGUCGCUUCAAUCUCGAUUGAUGCCGACUUCUUAGAGGGACUUUGUGGUUUAAACACAAGGAAGUUUGAGGCAAUAACA